UUACUGACGUUUCGACUGGAGGACCAGUCUUCAUCUUGAGUAACCCAAGAUGAAGACUGGUCCUCCAGUCGAAACGUCAGUAAA
rnacentral:pre_miRNA from 1 species